rnacentral:rRNA from 1 species
UAGUCAUAUGCUUGUCUCAGAGAUUAAGCCAUGCAUGUCUAAGUAUAAGCAAUCUUAUACAGCGAAACUGCGAAUGGCUCAUUAAAUCAGUUAUAGUCUACUUGAUCGUAUCUUCUUACAUGGAUAACCGUAGUAAAUCUAGAGCUAAUACAUGCUAAAAAUCCCGGACGCGGCAACGCGGAAGGGACGAGUUUAUUAGAUUAAAAACCGACACCUCUCCGCGAGGGGAGGUAGCACAGGUGAUUCACAGUAACCGAUCGGAUCGUCGGCCCCGCCGACGACGAUGCAUACGAGUUUCUGCCCUAUCAACUUUAGAUGGUAGAGUAUCGGUCUACCAUGGUCGUAACGGGUGACGGGGGAUUAGGGUUCGACUCCGGAGAGGGAGCCUGAGAAACGGCUACCACUUCCAAGGAAGGCAGCAGGCGCGCAAAUUACCCAAUCCCGACACGGGGAGGUAGUGACAAGAAAUACCAUUGUAAUGUCUCCUCGAGAGGCUUACGAUUGGAAUGAGUACAAUUUAAAUCCCUUAACGAGUAACGAUU